UGUUGUAGAAACACAGAUCUUGGGCCAGCCAGAUGAGUGUCACAAGCGUUCUCCUCAAAGCAGAUGUGGUGAUAUCUGAGGCCCAGAGAGAAACUUCUACUAACGCUGCCAACCAUAUAAAGGGCAGCUCUUCCUAGCCUGGAUUCCAUGUUGAAAAGCUGAAGAAAUCUGGGGGUCGUGCUUUCACUUAGAAUAAAUACACUGCUCACAAAGUAAAAAGAUUCCCCCCACCACCAUUUUUUGCCUUCCCAUAGCUGAAAAACAUCAGGUCCCACAAGGUUCAGAAUACUAACUCUAUUGUCUUUUGAGCUCAACAGCUCGAUCUCUAAGCCUGCUGUUUAGAGAUUUCCUCCCUUGUCUGGGUGGAUGGGGAGGAGAGAGAGCUCUGCCAGAUUGUUGCCUCCUUACCAGUCAUACAUAGUGCUCCACAAAAUUGGUAGGGGAAAUGCUCCAAAAUCAGAGAUGUUGCCAACUCUGUGUGCCAGCUCAUGUGAUUAGUCUCUGACCUUCAUAACCACAUCUGUGUUGCAUUAGUUCAUGCCUGCUUCCUUCCUGUCACUGGGCUGGCAGCAUCAAAUGGCAUGAUCUCUUUCUUAUACCAGAUUCACUUCUCAUGCGCAUCUCAGAGUCUUAUGAUUGCUUGUUCUGUACGAGUCAGAUUCCUGUUGAUGUGUGCAUGCAGGGCAUGGGGGAGCAAUUGUAAACCUGGCUUGGGUGCUAUCUGAGGCUGAUGUCACACAACAAAAACAAGAAGGUCACCUGUCACUCAUACAGAUAAAAUUCUGAUGUCUCUAACUCUGGGACAUGACCAAGCGUGAUAAGGGGAAAAGUAUCAGAAAUGUCACCUUUUCCAGCCCUGAGAUGCCCCAGGCUGUCUGCUUCAUGGGGUACAAAUUACUUCACAUUUUUUCUCCAGAAUAUGAAGUGAUAAGCGUCAGCCUACCAAAGUACAGCAGAAAGAAAAAUCUGCUUUCUUUAGGACAAACUUGACUUGCAGACACCUAAACAGUAAACAGGGUUAGAGCUUUUCAAAGCAAAUUCCACACAAUAUUGCUGAACUUUCCCCACACCAGAAUGGAUGAGUGGGAAAUGACUGGCGCAGGAAUACAAAACACUGGGCUGCGCAAGCUGAAAGGCAUUUAAAAAUAAAACCAGUCACAGACAUGAAAUAUGAAACUGAUUUUCAAAGGGGGAAGUGUUACGAACCCCAGAAUAUUUUGAGAUAUUUGUGGGAUGUCACACAUUUUCUUGCGUUUGUUUUACUAAUAUGACAUGUGUGGUCUCAUUAAAAAGCUGGUAUUAUGCUGGA